CGAGCGUUAAUCGGAAUUACUGGGCGUAAAGCGCAUGCAGGUGGUUUGUUAAGUCAGAUGUGAAAGCCCGGGGCUCAACCUCGGAAUUGCAUUUGAAACUGGCAGACUAGAGUACUGUAGAGGGGGGGUAGAAUUUCAGGUGUAGCGGUGAAAUGCGUAGAGAUCUGAAGGAAUACCGGUGGCGAAGGCGGCCCCCUGGACAGAUACUGACACUCAGAUGCGAAAGCGUGGGG
rnacentral:rRNA from 1 species